rnacentral:lncRNA from 1 species
CAAUUCAAAAGAACCGACUCUAAUUCAAAUCAGUGAGCUUUCUGGGCGGGUAGUGAUCGAUAAUGGCGACAACUGUUUCACAGCUUAGGGUAGGUCCCGUACUCAUGUCACCAAAGCAUCAUUCUUUUUAUUCAUCAACGAGACAGUUCUCGUCCAACAAUUUCUUCCUCCUGAAGAAGAAAUUCGACGAAAAUCGACCAAAUUUUCCCAAAUUGCGACUUGUUUUCCCCAAGAGCCAUUCAAUUUUAAGGUGCGGGUUGAGUAAUAACUGCAGCAAAGCAAAUAUUUUUCCAACUCGUAGUUUACAAAAAGAUCCUCUUUUUGUUGUGAAGAAAUUCAUAAAUCCUUGUUCAAUUCAGA